AUUGAACGCUGGCGGCAGGCCUAACACAUGCAAGUCGAGCGGAGCGGCCGACGGGUGAGUAAUGCCUAGGAAUCUGCCUGGCCGUGGGGGAUAACGUCCGGAAACGGGCGCUAACAACGAAUACUCUCAGACGAGCCUAGGCAGGAUUAGCUAGCUGGUGGGGUAAAGGCCUACCAAGGCGACGAUCCGUAACUGGUCUGAGAGGAUGAUCAGUCACACUGGAACUGAGACACGGUCCAGACUCCUACGGGAGGCAGCAGUGGGGAAUAUUGGACAAUGGGCGAAAGCCUGAUGCAGCCAUGCCGCGUGUGUGAAGAAGGUCUUCGGAUUGUAAAGCACUUUAAGUUGGGAGGCGUUACCAACAGAAUAAGCACCGGCUAACUUCGUGCCAGCAGCCGCGGUAAUAC
rnacentral:rRNA from 1 species